AGGAAAAAAAAAGAAAAAUUAACUCCACUUUUUGCAGAAUUAAGAAUCAGUACGGCAAAAAUAAUGCACAAAAUUUAAAUUAUAAUUAUAUUAAUACUUUUAUUGAAUGGAUUGGCCACUUGUAUAAUAAAGUCAUUUUAAUAACGUAGAGUGGUUCUACUGAUAAGGUUAUUUUAAAAAAAUUGGGUAUUAACAAUAGAAUUUUAGACUUAAAUAAAAAUGGCUUUUUAACCUUAACUAUUAAGGAUAACCUUGGUAAUUUAUUAUUUGGGAUUGAUUUGGGUUAUUUUAAAAAAAAUGGUCACUUACUUAAAUUAGAAGAGGCACAUAAAAUAAUAUGUGAUAAAAAGCAUGGUCUACCUCAUAUUCCUGAAGUUGACGUAGCCAUGACUAGGUGUCUAUUCAAUUUUGCAAUAGUUAAUUUAGGAGAAAAAUUUUUAAUACCAAAUUUAACUUAAUAUGAUGUUCUUUUAUUUAAUUUUUAGAAUGUGGUUUUGCUGGGGAUUGUUACUUAUAACUUGCCAAAAUAUAUUUAUUGAGAAAAUUAAGGUAUCAGUAUCUUCGGGUGCUUUCUUUAACGAGGUACAAGAGGCAAUGAUGUAUGAUAAAAGUAUUCCAUUAACUUAUACUCAGAUUAUUUUAGACAAAGAAAAAACAAACGUGGAAAGAACUUACAUUGCAGUUAAUAAGUUUAACGAUGAACAUAGAGUUGUUUCUGGUGUCGGGUUACAACACUGCGAUCCUCCGGUUACUGAUUUAUGUUGUAUUCCAAAAUUUUCCGCUGACAAAUACUCUCACCAAGAUGUGUGGAGGCGAUUUACAAAAAUUUACCAUUAGAACAAAUCAAUCAAGUCUGUUAUUUUAAAUGUAUUAAACACAUAGAAAAUGAUUAUAUUAUUAUCAAACAAAUAGGAGUAAAUAGUUUUGUUAUAACUAAUCCUCAACCUAAUCUGAAAGUCAGAACUUUUAAUGACCACAAUUAUACUGAAACAGAAUUAGAUAUAAACUAUGAUUACCCGGGUUUAAUUAAGAUAACAUUGUCUUGUGAACAAGAAUGAAUAAGAAAUAAUAAUAUUUUAAUCCCUAAAAUGUACCCUUGUGAAAAAAUUAACAAAAAUACUCUAAAAAUAUUAAGAAUAUUGCCUAUUUCUAGGACCAAUAUUAAAUCACUAAAAAUUAAACGUGAUGACCCUGAAGCAAUAGAAAAAUUUUAUUUUAACAAUAUUUCAGAAAUCCUUAAUAAAAAUUGGACCUCGGUGGUGCCAAACUUUCAUAUAACCAAACAAAUUAACUCUGAUGAAUAUUUUAAAGAUAUUAUGUUAAAAUCUUUUUCUAUUCCACUUAUAGACAAUUUUUUAGGAGAUAUUAUUUAUAUCUCUUGGCUGUCAUUAUUAACUUUGGUCAUGGCUUUCUCAAUUUACAAAUUCAUCAAUUUAUCCAAUGUUUAUAAAAGUAGACGUCAUGGGUUUACCACCUCCAAUACCUCCUAAAUAUCAAACAUAAUUUCUUACUACUGUUAUAUUGUUAGUUUUUUUUUCUCUCUUUUGUCUUUUCCUUUCUCUUUUAAAUAUUUACAAUUCUAUUAAUACACUAAAUAACUAACCACAAAUUAAUAGUAUAAAAACCUACACAAAGCGAAAAUCCAUUUAAUGAAGAUGGCUCCAAAGAUGGCAAACUAAAUAGAGUAUUCCAUCUUCCAGUAAAAAAAAAA